AGAGUUUGAUCAUGGCUCAGGACGAACGCUGGCGGCGUGCUUAACACAUGCAAGUCGAACGAUGAUCCGGUGCUUGCACCGGGGAUUAGUGGCGAACGGGUGAGUAACACGUGAGUAACCUGCCCUGGACUCUGGGAUAACCCCGAGAAAUCGGAGCUAAUACCGGAUAGGACCUCGAAUCGCAUGGUUUGGGGUGGAAAGUUUUCCGGUCUGGGAUGGACUCGCGGCCUAUCAGCUUGUUGGUGAGGUAAUGGCUCACCAAGGCGUCGACGGGUAGCCGGCCUGAGAGGGUGACCGGCCACACUGGGACUGAGACACGGCCCAGACUCCUACGGGAGGCAGCAGUGGGGAAUAUUGCACAAUGGGCGCAAGCCUGAUGCAGCAACGCCGCGUGAGGGAUGACGGCCUUCGGGUUGUAAACCUCUUUUAGUAGGGAAGAAGGGCUUCGGCUUGACGGUACCUGCAGAAAAAGGACCGGCUAACUACGUGCCAGCAGCCGCGGUAAUACGUAGGGUCCGAGCGUUGUCCGGAAUUAUUGGGCGUAAAGAGCUCGUAGGCGGUUUGUCGCGUCUGCUGUGAAAUCCCGAGGCUCAACCUCGGGCCUGCAGUGGGUACGGGCAGACUUGAGUGCGGUAGGGGAGAAUGGAAUUCCUGGUGUAGCGGUGGAAUGCGCAGAUAUCAGGAGGAACACCGAUGGCGAAGGCAGUUCUCUGGGCCGUAACUGACGCUGAGGAGCGAAAGCGUGGGGAGCGAACAGGAUUAGAUACCCUGGUAGUCCACGCCGUAAACGUUGGGCGCUAGAUGUGGGGACCUUUCCACGGUUUCCGUGUCGUAGCUAACGCAUUAAGCGCCCCGCCUGGGGAGUACGGCCGCAAGGCUAAACUCAAAGGAAUUGACGG
rnacentral:rRNA from 1 species